rnacentral:snRNA from 1 species
UCAUCAAGGGCAGAAACUAGGCGUUCUCCAUGUGUCCAGUCUGAGAGAGCAUCCCUACAUGCCAAAGAAGAUGACCUUCCCUGAAGAGAGGAGGACCGGUCUUUGGUCAAGGGUGUAUGAGUAGCUGUGCUCCCUUGCUAGAUCCUCCAAACAAGCUCUCAUUUGCUAUUUUAUUCCUUUGAGAAAAGAAAUCUCAUUUAACCUGAAGUUAAAUUGG